rnacentral:tRNA from 1 species
GGCUCUGUGGCACAAAGGAUAGUGCAUUCCACUUCUAGAUGAUGAGCUGGAGGUUUUCAAAGGUUGUGAGUUCGAGUCCCACCAGAGCCG